rnacentral:lncRNA from 1 species
UGGAAGACUUAAGAUGGCGGCGUUUGCACGGAGUGCAAUCACUGCGUCCUUACGGGGGUUGCAAGGCGUCCGAAGUAUGAGUCCACUAACAAAAGUCCAGAAACUCGCCAGUUAAUAGUAUUGUGUCUCUUCAAAAUAUCGGAGAAUAAUUUCUUUCUCGCUGAUCGCCUAACUUCUACUGACGAAGCUUGGAAGUUGCAGAAGCCAGACAUGAUGUAUUGAGUAAAAGGAACUUCGGUACACAGGCCUUUAGUGAUGUGGUGGUAAGAUGUAUGAUGGAGUUCGCUCUUGUUGCCCAGGCUGGAAUGCAAUGGCAUGACCUUGGCUCACUGCAACCUCUGCCUCCCCAGUUCAAGUGGUUCUCCUGCCUCAGCCUCCCGAGUAGCUGAGAUUACAGGUACUGGCUCCUGUAUCACCCAGCUCUGGAGUUGAAAGAGCUCUUCAUUCCUGAGUCUCCUGUACCACUGAGAAUAGUUUCUUCAAAGGAAAGAAGCAACUGGAACACACAUAUAACACUAACCCUUCCAGCUGCAUUAUGAGGGACCAGUACCUGUCUCAAGGCAAAAUUAUGACUUAGUUCAUCCUCACCUCUGGAGGCCAGUAAAAGUGGGUUAUAGAAGAACAAAGAGGCAUCUAGAUCUUUCACUGGGUUAUUUGGAGAGAAACAUCUCCUACCGAAGGCCAGUUUAACAAGACUGGUAGAGGAGGUUAUCUUAUCUAAUUCACAGAAAUCAACACAUUGAGUCAAGAAAAAUGAAACACAGAAACACUCUAAAUAAAAGAAGAUAAGUCUUCAGAAACCAACCCUAAUGAAAUGAAGAUAUGUGAUUAACCUGACAGGAAAUUAAAAAGAGCAACCAUAAAGAGUCUCAUGGGAGCAAUGCAUGAACAAACUGAGAAUUUUCAUAAAGAAAUAAAAGAUAACAAAAA